CCAAAUUGGAUCAAAGGUUUGAUCAAGUCAUCAUCAAAUUCAAUCAUCCGUUUUGGUGGAUUAUGGUUUUCACCCCAUCAACACCCAAGGUCCAUUGAGAUUGAUGAGACUUAUGAUCAAAACAAUCAUGAUCCAAGCCCUACAGAAGUCAACCAAAGUAAAAGAUAUAUAAAAUAAAAUAAAAUAAAAUGCAUCAGACACAUUUUCAAAAUGAAUUUUAAAAGGGAAAUAAAAGAGAAAAUGUAUAACGUCCUUCAAAACACCAAAGAAAUGGCCAAGAAAAUUAUAGAAGGUUGAAAAUAGAAUAAGAAGCAUAUAAUAAAAUAUUCAUAAUUUUAAAGUGCACAAAAUUAUUUUUAAAUCAAUUAAAACAUAGGAGAAAAGAGAAAAUUCAUGAAAAAUAGAAAAUCAAGGAAACAAAU
rnacentral:lncRNA from 1 species